rnacentral:rRNA from 1 species
GGCGGCGUGCUUAACACAUGCAAGUCGAACGGAAAGGCCCUGCUUUUGUGGGGUGCUCGAGUGGCGAACGGGUGAGUAACACGUGAGUAACCUGCUCUUGACUUUGGGAUAACUUCAGGAAACUGGGGCUAAUACCGGAUAGGAGCUCCUGCUGCAUGGUGGGGGUUGGAAAGUUUCGGCGGUUGGGGAUGGACUCGCGGCUUAUCAGCUUGUUGGUGGGGUAGUGGCUUACCAAGGCUUUGACGGGUAGCCGGCCUGAGAGGGUGACCGGCCACAUUGGGACUGAGAUACGGCCCAGACUCCUACGGGAGGCAGCAGUGGGGAAUAUUGCACAAUGGGCGGAAGCCUGAUGCAGCAACGCCGCGUGCGGGAUGACGGCCUUCGGGUUGUAAACCGCUUUCGCCUGUGACGAAGCGUGAGUGACGGUAAUGGGUAAAGAAGCACCGGCUAACUACGUGCCAGCAGCCGCGGUGAUACGUAGGGUGCGAGCGUUGUCCGGAUUUAUUGGGCGUAAAGGGCUCGUAGGUGGUUGAUCGCGUCGGAAGUGUAAUCUUGGGGCUUAACCCUGAGCGUGCUUUCGAUACGGGUUGACUUGAGGAAGGUAGGGGAGAAUGGAAUUCCUGGUGGAGCGGUGGAAUGCGCAGAUAUCAGGAGGAACACCAGUGGCGAAGGCGGUUCUCUGGGCCUUUCCUGACGCUGAGGAGCGAAAGCGUGGGGAGCGAACAGGCUUAGAUACCCUGGUAGUCCACGCUGUAAACGGUGGGUACUAGGUGUGGGGUCCAUUCCACGGGUUCCGUGCCGUAGCUAACGCUUUAAGUACCCCGCCUGGGGAGUACGGCCGCAAGGCUAAAACUCAAAGGAAUUGACGGGGCCCCGCACAAGCGGCGGAGCAUGCGGAUUAAUUCGAUGCAACGCGUAGAACCUUACCUGGGUUUGACAUGGAUCGGGAGUGCUCAGAGAUGGGUGUGCCUCUUUUGGGGUCGGUUCACAGGUGGUGCAUGGCUGUCGUCAGCUCGUGUCGUGAGAUGUUGGGUUAAGUCCCGCAACGAGCGCAACCCUUGUUCACUGUUGCCAGCACGUUAUGGUGGGGACUCAGUGGAGACCGCCGGGGUCAACUCGGAGGAAGGUGGGGAUGACGUCAAGUCAUCAUGCCCCUUAUGUCCAGGGCUUCACGCAUGCUACAAUGGCUGGUACAGAGAGUGGCGAGCCUGUGAGGGUGAGCGAAUCUCGGAAAGCCGGUCUCAGUUCGGAUUGGGGUCUGCAACUCGACCUCAUGAAGUCGGAGUCGCUAGUAAUCGCAGAUCAGCAACGCUGCGGUGAAUACGUUCCCGGGGCUUGUACACACCGCCCGUCAAGUCAUGAAAGUUGGUAACACCCGAAGCCGGUGGCCUAACCGUUGUGGGGGAGCCGUCGAAGGUGGGACUGGUGAUUAGGACUAAGUCG